rnacentral:lncRNA from 1 species
AUGUGUCCCAGGAACAUCUGUUUUUACUUGCUGACUUUGCUGGAUGUUUCAGGUUCGGACCCAGAAAGCCUGUGUCCAGGCCUGUUGUUCUUUUGCUUGUUUAAAGUUGAAUUUGUCCAUGGUCAUUUGGACCGACCUUCCAUGCUACAAGCAGUUACCCUGAGAAGUCUGGAGAUUCGUGGUGCUGUUCUGGCUGUCUGCUGUGGAAAUGUAGCCUUUUCAUGCAAGGUUAGAUAGACUGUGAAGGGUCUGCUGCAAGUAUUUCAACCUGUCUGUUUCAAAGAGGGCUGAGUUCAUCACCAACUCCACCAGGUAGGGCUGGGUUUUUCCUCCCUCUGCAUCGGUGCAGAUUUUGUGAUCAGGAAAAGCUGUUUGGGUUGCUGUUAAUAGGUUUUGAUCUGCUGGAGGAGGUUUGCUUCAGCCCCAGGAAAGUGAUGGUAUCACAAGCUCUGCGUGUGAGCACAGUUGAAAUGCAAAUCUUCUUUUUAUUGCCUUCACUUAAAAUAACAGCACCUGCAGCCGUGGGCCAGCCAACUGCAUGGCCAAACCCUCAUCUGACUGCCGGGUGCCUGGGCUUCAGGAAAGUGUCCUGAGGAGCUGAGACCUAGCUGCAUUAAGCAGUAUCCUUUCUAAAUGCACUAAUUGUAGAGAUCACAAUGAAGAGAAAUGAUCGCAGCAAUGGUGAAUGAAGGAUUUUGUCCCUCACUAGGCAGGUUUAAGCUCAAGGCUCUGCUACAGCUUUGUCAUCUCAGCCCAGCACUUCUGCUACGUGGCAGAAUUCAAGCGUGCAGAUUUCAAACGGGCUUUCCUUGGGUACUCAUGCAAGCCAGACUCCAUCUCUUGGAUGUCUAUGGAAAGCAAACAGAAAAGAGAUGGGAAGUCUUGGCAAAGUGAGUCCAUUUCCAAACCACAGCCCAGUUAACACAGUCCCUGCUGCAUCCUCUGGAUGUGAAAGAUAAAACCAUAGAUCAGAAACGAGUUAGCAUCAGUCAGCUACAUCUUGGACAGGACACCAGCUCUCCAUGAGUGUUUGCAGCCAUUCACACUGCCACUUACCUCUCUUUUUGCAUAACAUGGUUGUAAAUAGUUAUGUAUUGCUGUCUUUCUUUACUCGGUGCUGG